rnacentral:lncRNA from 1 species
UGAAUUAAUACUUUAAAUUAUUCAGGACCAGACUUAAUUUCAGUUUGAGUCCCUCUCGUUGCUCCACAGCAAUAAAAACAUAGAGAUGUUGCAACCCAAAUACCCAAGUGAAGACAAAGCUCCAUCUGAGGAUGCCUUGGGUUCCAGAAGGUUCAGGUUCACAGCAUGAGCUUAGAGACUGGCUGUUGAGAACACACUGGCUGGUGAAAUAUUCUUCUCUCAAGAGGCUUGGUCGAUCGUCUCCUUUUUCUGUCAUCUGCUGGUAUAUCACACUGGAAAAGCAUCUCCUCUCUGCUGGAAAAACCUCUGACUACCUUGUAUUCUAGGUCAGAAAGCCCCAAAUGGCAUCAGACUGGUCAGCUCCAGCUCGGUAUUCCCAGCCAGAUGUUCCUCAGGGGGCCAGGGGGUGCCCCCACAACAGCUGGGGACCAUAAGGCACCUGCACGGAAACUGCAGGGCCUCUCCCAGUGACCCCAGCUGCAGGAGCAUUGCUGUUUGCCGGGGCUCUGGAAUGUUCCUCACCCAGCUGUGCUCCGCUGGAUGCUUCCCAGUGGACUGGAAGAGGAGUGCUGACAGCACGGUGACACUAACCUUGGCCAGCUGACAACCCAAAGUUGCCUCCACACACCCUGGAUUGGACCCAUUGUCCUUCCUUUGACCCUCAGCUCCUUCCUCUGGCUCUGAGUAAUGAGUGUAAGCAAUCCCAGCCAUUCCAAUAUUUUUUUUUCCUAGUUUUCUUCUAGUAGAGCAGAUAUUCCUCUUUCACUGCUCAUUGUCAGAUUUGUCUUCUAAAGAAGUGGACACAUCUGGUGGGGGGUUGGUGAGACUGAGCUCAUGCACUGGGAAAGGUUCAUGGAAUACUCAACACUUCUCAGGUAACUUGGGAUAGAAACCUCCUCACACCUGGAGGAUUCCCUUUCCAGCAUCUGAACAAAACACACCUGCUGAGGAGCAGGUUCCUAUGCUGGAUCCACAAACCCGACAUGCCUGGGGCUUGUCCUCUUGUAUAAUACAAAAGAAAAGGCAGAAAAAUUCUUUAGUGAGCACUGAGUUCCCCAGGAGAAUAUGGCUGAACUUGUCUGCAAGCAAGUCACUGCUGUUUGCAUACUCUGCCUCAGAUUCACCCUCCCCAGUCCAUCUGUGAGCAUUGUACUCCAUAACAGUAACAGCCAUAUCAAACACUGCACAGUUUGGGAACAAGGGAUGCAUUUUCUUCCAGGAUUUCUUAAGCAGGUCACCAGCAUGUUUUCCCAUUGAACUGUAAGUCAAGACUGGCUGCAGGAGAGAGUCAUUGAGGGGGUAGACCACAGGUGCCACCCUAUUAUCAAUGUUAUCAUUAAUAUUAUCAAUAUAUGGCAGCAAAGUUCCCCUCCGUAAGUCUACAUGGGAAAAGUCUUAAAUGUGAAGGCAGAAGCCUCUGUAAUAGACUAAGAAAAUAUUAAAUACUUGUGGACCAGAGAGAUAAUCCAUUCUUCUCCCUGAAUGGGGCAUUGUUUCUGCCUGAAAAACAAAAAUGAUCAAGAUGAAAUCUGCAGAAAUGCAAGAUGCAGAACUAAAAUGGCAAUAGGUGUCUACUGACUGAAGAAGUUUUUAUCAACCUGGGGCCAAAGUUCCCCACUGCCACGUACAAUCAGACAGUCAGAGUGUCAAAUAAAAUUAGAGAAUCUUAAUUAGCCUUUUAAAAU